AUUAUUAUUAUUAUUAUUAGUAUCUGGUACUGGUGAUUUAGUAGUACAGUCAGUACUGGACAUUAAUGAAUAUAAUCAGAGAAGAGUACUGGAGGGACUUGCAAAAGAAUUUAUAAAAGAUCAUCCUGUUUCAAUCGAAGACAUUUUGGGCAAGGAGCCUAAAUUAAAGGACCUCCAUAGGCUCUUUGAUAGUUCUGCUGCUCAUUAUUCAACUAUUGGUACUGCACUUGAAGUUGCAGUGGACGACUUGUCUCAUAGUGAAAAGUCAGCCUCCGAUAAGCUACUGUCAGUAUUCAAGAGAUGGAUUGAGUCCAAUAAAGGAGUGACCUGGAGGAAUGCUCUUCAAGUUUGUAAAGAUUAUCCUGAUAAAUUUGGAAGAGUGAAGGCUAGUUUGGACAAAUUUCUUCAAUCAGAUAGAGCUCAUAAAGAGUAUUAAAUCAAUAUUCAUUGCCUUUUCUGAUUGUAAUGCCUCGUAUUAUUACUAUUAUUAUUGUUGUUGUUGUUGUUGUUAUUGCAUAGUUUUAAUAAUCACACAAAAGUA